UAUGCCCAAUCAAUUUUCACUGUCUGAGAGAAAUAAGGGUUUGAAAAUUUAAAUUCUAAAAAAAUGUUAUGCCCAAUCAAAUUUUAUCGUCAGUGAUCCGUAAGGGUUUCAAAUUUCUUAAUUGCGUGAUAACCUUAAUUAUGUUUCAAGAAGCCUCCUUUCUAUCCCUAUUCUCCUUAUCUCUGAUUCAAUUGCACCAUGCACCAUAAUCUGAUUAACUGUUUUGUUUGUUUGUUCCAGAGAUUAGUGUUGCUUCGCGGAGUGAUCUGUAUCCCACGAACCAGAGGAAGCUCCUUCCAAGGAGGAACCAUUUGGUAGUGUUGUGGUCUGCGUGGACGCCUUGGAGCUGGAGAUUACGACACCCAAAGAGGUCAGACGGCUGGCGAAUGCAAAUUAUUUUCAAUCUUCAUUGGUAGAAUUUGAUUCCAGAGUACAGGUGAUGAUAAGUUGAUUUGAAGAUGGUUUCAAUUUUAAAGAACCCAAUCCUUUGAACCCAAUCCACAAGUUGCUCUACAAGUGAGUAGGAGACGGAGUUUUCCUUUUCCCUUGGUUUUGGAUCAUACGAGUUGUGUUUUGUAAUGUCUGUUUGUGGUAGAAAUAAAAUUUCCAUUUCCCUUGAUUUUGGAUCACACGAG